AUUGAACGCUGGCGGAAUGCUUUACACAUGCAAGUCGAACGGUAGAGGGGGCAACCCCUCGAGAGUGGCGAACGGGUGAGUAAUAUAUCGGAACGUGCCCAGUCGUGGGGGAUAACGUAGCGAAAGUUACGCUAAUACCGCAUACGAUCUAAGGAUGAAAGCGGGGGAUCGCAGGACCUCGCGCGAUUGGAGCGGCCGAUAUCAGAUUAGGUAGUUGGUGGGGUAAAGGCUCACCAAGCCAACGAUCUGUAGCUGGUAUGAGAGGACGCCCAGCCAAACUGGAACUGAGACACGGUCCAGACUCCUACGGGAGGCAGCAGUGGGGAAUUUUGGACAAUGGCCGCAAGUCUGAUCCAGCCAUUCCGCGUGCAGGAUGAAGGCCCUCGGGUUGUAAACUGCUUUUGUACGGAACGAAAAGGUCUCUCUUAAUACGGGGGACUCAUGACGGUACCGUAAGAAUAAGCACCGGCUAACUACGUGCCAGCCGCCGCAGUAA
rnacentral:rRNA from 1 species